rnacentral:misc_RNA from 1 species
AGCAACAUGGCCGGAGGAAAAACUUCUCUUAGCUACUAAAUAUCGUAGUCCUCGAGUGAGUACAGAUGCUAGUAUCGACUUCUCCAAUGGCUUAACUCAAACAAAGUUCUGCUGGGGUUUGGUCAUUGUAACUGCAAGCCACCGCGGGGAGAUCAGGACUUUCCAAAAUUUUGGCUUACCAUUUCGGAUUUAAGGUGCCAACAAGAAGGUCCAUGUUUUCGGAGUGUCUGCCGAGAUGCCACAGUACACAGCUACAGCCAAGUUACCAACUUUGUACAGAUAGAUUUGUAAUAUAAGUGAUUUUUUUCUUUCUUUUGUAUCAAAACUUAGAUAAGGAAUUGUGAAGAGGGGGAAAAGAUCUAUAAUGAUAUAAGAGUAGUAUUGAUGAAAAGGAAAAA